rnacentral:rRNA from 1 species
AAACGGGUGCGGAACACGUACACAACCUUCCUUUAAGCGGGGGAUAGCCCAGAGAAAUUUGGAUUAAUACCCCAUAGAAUGUUGACGAGGCAUCUUGUUAAUAUUAAAGAUUUAUCACUUGAAGAUGGGUGUGCGUCUGAUUAGGUAGUUGGCGGGGUAACGGCCCACCAAGCCAUCGAUCAGUAACUGGUGUGAGAGCACGACCAGUCACACGGGCACUGAGACACGGGCCCG